rnacentral:rRNA from 1 species
GACGAACCGUGCGAACGUUAUUCGGAAUCACUGGGCUUAAAGGGCGCGUAGGCGGGCUGCCAAGUCAGAGGUGAAAUCCUGCGGCUCAACCGCAGAAGUGCCCCUGAUACUGGCAGUCUCGGAGGGGGGUAGGGGCAUGUGGAACUUCCGGUGGAGCGGUGAAAUGCGUAGAUAUCGGAAGGAACGCCGGUGGCGAAAGCGACGUGCUGGACCCCUUCUGACGCUGAGGCGCGAAAGCCAGGGGAGCGGAACGGG